AAAAGUUACACCCUAACUAUAAAAUUAAGCAAACGCUGAUAUCUAUUACUACCACCAUAUUUAUACAAGGAGCUUGAUGAACUACUACUAAGCGUGAUAGUCUAGUGGUUAAUUUGGUGAGAUGACUUUGUUUCACCUCGGUUUGAUUCCCUAUACCAAUAAGAUGAAAAUAUUGUCUCUACUUAGGAGUACAAUGAAAAGAGUGGUAAAUUGUUCAAUUGUCUGUCACAUUGGGUGCCACAUCAAGUUAAGUAGUAAGUCUCCUCCUAUAGAGUUGGGUUAAAUAAAAAACGUUAACCAGUUACUGCGAAUUACAGACUUAAAGAGGUUAUGACCGUUGUACCCGAAGAGCCCUCAUUUUUAC
rnacentral:misc_RNA from 1 species